GUUAUAUGGUCAAGUGAAGAAGCGCAUACGGUGGAUGCCUUGGCAGUCAGAGGCGAUGAAAGACGUGGUAGCCUGCGAUAAGCUUUGGGGAGUCGGCAAACAGACUGUGAUCCAGAGAUCUCUGAAUGGGGGAACCCACUCAGCAUAAGCUGAGUAUCUUGUACUGAAUACAUAGGUGCAAGAGGCGAACCAGGGGAACUGAAACAUCUAAGUACCCUGAGGAAAAGAAAUCAACCGAGAUUCCCUUAGUAGUGGCGAGCGAACGGGGACCAGCCCUUAAGUUGAUUUGAGAUUAGUGGAACGCUCUGGAAAGUGCGGCCAUAGUGGGUGAUAGCCCCGUACACGAAAAUCUCUU
rnacentral:rRNA from 1 species